rnacentral:lncRNA from 1 species
GAAGAGCUCUGACAGCACAUUGCCAGAGGGUUCAGAAGCUGCUGAGUGAUUUGUUGGGUGUUCUGGUGAGCUAAGUUAGAUAGUAGGUUCAUUCAUUACUGUUUCUCCUUACAUAGAAUAAAACCUAGGUUUCCUCCCCCGUUAUUGUGCCCCUUCAUGCAUUCCUUUUUCUGUGACCAUCCAGACAACACUGACAGGACUGCCUGUGGCAGAGUUUGGGUGUAGGGAUCUUUUAACCACCUUGUUUCCUGGCUCUACUCCAUCUGUCAUUUUUACUGGUUCUCUUAUACUUCCUUUUUUUCAUUAAAGACAGCCUCCUAUGUGUCUUCAGGGCAGUGAGGACUUCCUAUCCAGGCAACACCCUAUUCUGCAGACACAUUGCUCAUGGGCACUGAACUGAAGUGGCCUCCAGAUCCUCUUCACCUCCACCCUAUGUGCCUCUGCCACACUGAUAACUUAAGAAAAGUUUAGCAAACCCUCUCAAAACUUUCCUGGCUCACACAGGCUCACUUUCCAAAAAGCUAAGCCAAAUGCCCAUGUUGUGCCAGUGAGCUGACCAUGGAGGAAAGCAGGGUUUGUUGAUAAUCUCCUUUCUAGGACAGAAGAGAGCAUGCUCAGUGUGAUUCUUGCAGGAAGAGGACACCCAGUUCUCACUUUGAAAGGAGGCCCUGACCAGGAGCCAGAGUCUGCUGCAAAGCUUUGGCUUAAAUGUGGGAUCUGAGAUGCCAUGAAUUUUGCUGAAAAGAGUGUGUGUUUAGCAAACUUAACCGACAUCCCCUACCACACAGCCAAGCAGACAAUAGGAUAGAAAUCUGUGGGGGGAAAAACAGAAUGUCAGUAGUUUAAAGACUAUGGGCCUUUCCUGCCCUGUACCUCCGUCAUCAAUGUCGAAGCCUGGCUUUGCUCUUACCAGGAUUAACAGUGUACAAUGCCAAAUGCUUUGUCCAUUGUUGAGGCCUGAUGUUGGGAGGAAGCAGGAACUUUCUUCCUGUGUCAGUUGAGUUGAGGCAAAAGGGACCAGCCUGCACUAAGGCAGCCUUGCUUUGAACUGUUCAUUAAAGCAGAAAAGAAUCUUAUGGAAGAUCACUAUAGAUCAUAUCUGCUGACCUGCGUGCCUACCCACAAAUAUGUCUCUUGGGUUUUUUUAUCUCUGCAGGUCAUCAGGUAGAUAUAACCCUCAAUUUUUUCUCAUUCUCUUUUAAUUCUGUCCCACAAAUCUGAUCCAUUCCACGUCCCUACAGAAGUGAGGAUGGAGACCUUGGACUGAGGGUGCAGGACAUGAGUGUGGGGGGUAGUGGUAGAUUGACUCAGUAAAGAACAUUUUUCAAGAUUCUAAAGCUCAAUGACACAUUAAAAGAAACUCUGAUCAAGAGUGAAUUUGUAAUGGUUAAUGCUGACAAUUUAUUCAGGUGCCUUACCUCUUUUCUAAUCCAUGUUACACGUGAGCCUCCCUUGCUCCCUCUUGAGUCCCUUAACACCUGAGAGCCUGCAGCAGUGCAGAUGUAAAAACUGGCCCGCUUGGAGGAUUACCAAUAUGUAGAUUUGAAGGAUUCCCUUCUGGGCUUCAUUUUGUAAACUUCUUAGGGCUGUUUUUAUUAAUCACGUUUGAUGGAGGGUAGAAAUAAUUUGAACAUAUUUUAUUUAUACCUUUAUUAAUUAAAAGGUUACAGUGUUUAAAAUGGAAGUUUUAACAGUCUGCAAUUAUUCCAAGUGUGUUCUCUGUAAAUGUAGCAGAAGUGGGUUGAUGUGAAAAGAAGGCAAGGUAGCUAUGGUAUACUGGUGUGAAGGUCAGGGCCUCCUACCAGUAUGCCACUGACCAUGUGACUCCUAAAGCAGACUUAUGCUGACAAUAAAGAAUCCACUCCCAAGAUAAGGACAUUAAUCCAUGAGGGUAGAACACUCCUGACCUAAUCACCUCUUAAUGGUUCCACCUCAAUGUUGUUGCUUUGGAGAUGAAGUGUCCAUCCCAUGAAUUCAGACCACAGCACUGGACAAGUCAUUUACAAUGUGCCUCAGUAUUCCUUCUCUUAAAAUGGGGUAAUAAAACUGACCUACCUCAAUGGACAAGUUUGAGGCAUGAGUAAUGCUUCUACUAAAGCAUUUUGGCAUCAGCAGAGGAAUUUUCAAAACCUGCAUGUUUUUAUUAUAGCAGUAUCCACCAUGGACUUGUACCAUGUUCUGGAUGAUGUUAGACUACAUCCUCCUCUUGAGAGAUUGAAUGAAUGCAGUUGAUAAAUGUUGGAUAAUUAGCCAGACAAAAUUUUGAGAAUGUAUACUCAUUGCUAUGAAAAUAUAUGCAGGAUACCUUUUCCUUCCUUGGGUGAGAUUUUUCCUUAUGUGAAAUAGUAAUUAUUUGUAACCUAAGAAUUGUUUUUGGAAUAAUUUUCAUUAAUAUCAACUUUGAAGCUAGUUGUUUUGAUCUGAAGUUGUGUUUGUUCUAAUAAAAUUGAUGUGAAUCUG